CGUGUAGGCGGCUCGGAAAGUCUGGUGUGAAAACUUGAGGCUCAACCUCAAGGGUGUCGCUGGAUACUAUCGAGCUCGAGUCCGGAAGAGGAGAGUGGAAUUCCUGGUGUAGCGGUGGAAUGCGCAGAUAUCAGGAGGAACACCAAUGGCGAAGGCAGCUCUCUGGUACGUGACUGACGCUGAGACGCGAAAGCGUGGGGAGCGAACA
rnacentral:rRNA from 1 species